UACGGAGGGUGCAAGCGUUGCUCGGAAUUAUUGGGCGUAAAGGGUAGGUAGGUGGUCUCUUUUGUCUGGGGUGAAAGCCUUGAGCUUAACUCAAGAAGUGCCCCAGAAACGGCGAGACUAGAGUCCUGGAGAGGGUCGUGGAAUUCCCGGUGUAGCGGUGAAAUUCGUAGAUAUCGGGAGGAACACCAGUGGCGAAGGCGGCGAUCUGGGAAGAUACUGACGCUGAGGUGCGAAAGCGUGGGGAGCAAACAGG
rnacentral:rRNA from 1 species